rnacentral:lncRNA from 1 species
UUCCAAGUUAUACAUUGGAAGAACUCACUGAAGAUGUUGUUAGUAUAGCACUCAAUGAAAAUUCUCCGGCCCCUGGUUGCGACACUCCAGUCAAUUGAUCACAUCAGGGGAUGAAAAAUCAAAUUCCUGCCACUUUUGUUUAAGUUUUUAAGUUCUAGUUGGUGUUGAACAAUUCCUAUUUUGUUGUACUUGAACUCCAGUUGAUGUUUGAACAAUAUUAUCAUCAAUUUCAUUUCUACUAUUUUAUGAAUUUAUUGUAUAAUUUUUAUGUCUAAAUUUUCAUUUAUCUCAAAAAAUGUGAAAGUAACAGAUUAAUUAUGUGAAAAACGUGUACUUUCGUGUACGAAUGUGUACUACAAUAUUUCGUGUAUAUUUCAUUCCGGAGUACACGGAAGGUACACGAAAAUAUUUCGUGUACUUAACGUGUACAGUUCGUGUUGACACGAAAAUAAACACCGGAGUACACGGAAGGUACACGAAAAUAUUUCGUGUACUUAACGUGUACAGUUCGUGUUGACACGAAAAUAAACAGUUCGUGUACGUGUCCCAAAAUAGGUACACGAAACUCAAACGGUUCGGGUUCGGGUUUAGGGUCACGUACACGAAAACACGAAAGUACACGACACGAACCGUUUGUCAGGUAUAAUUAUAAGUUCUAUUUUGAAAAAAAAAAAAAAAAAANAACAUGAGCAUCUUGAUAAAGACUAACCUUUCCACCUUUUCUAAGAGGAAAGUAAGUACCUGGUACACCAGGGUAAUCCGGACCUAAUCCAACAUUAUCAUGAUAUAGAGGAAUUUUAUCAUUUGAGGUGUAUUGAAUUGAUGCAGUUAAAACAGCUCCUUUUCUACAUGGCUUCCCACUUGCAUUUAGAAUAGGAAAUGUACCCUCAUAUUUUUUCCCCCACCAAAUUUGAUCCACGGGAAUUCCCACAACCCCGAUAAUCUCAGAACCCACAACGUCACUGUCCUUAAUUAGAAAGAACAGUUCUGAAGCAUAAUGCGCUACAAGAACAUUAAACUGCUGCAUCCACUUUGGGUUUUCACUGUCCGGAAUCACAAAAGUUCUAGCAAUUGUAGCCUUGGAUAUCUUAACGGCAACAUAAGGGUCACUCGUAUUUUUCUUGCUUCUACCUCCGCAUUUGCUAUUAAACAUGGAACUGAUCGCAUCCAUAUUUGGAAGAUGCUUAGCCUCUUGGAUAUAUAUAUCCAAAAUCCCAUGCAACAACAUUACCUUUAAAGGCUCCUUUGUGGUCUUAAAUGGCAGAUUUUCGAUAAUUUCAUCCUCAUCCUCAUCAUAUGUUUCUGACAUUUGAACUUUUUACUCCUUGCCCAAUACUAAAUGGAUGUAAAAGUUGAUUAAUUGGAGGGUGCACACACACAAACACAAAAUCUGAAGAUAAUAUAAUCUACCCUUUACUUAUACAUACACACACAUCAUCCAAAUCAGACCUAAGUGAAGAAGCCCUGGGUGAUGUUUGAUCAUAAAGAAAGAAACUUGACAACAUAUAUACAAAUGGGUGAGAAUUGUACAACAAGAGAUUACCAGUGUUGUGCAAAACAAACUUUGGUAAGCCAAGAAAAGAGUUACCCAGUUGAGCAGACACAGGAAAAAUAGCCAGGUUUCAGAAAGAAGGUUAAUUUUGAUUAAUCCAAGUGUAAUGAGUAAAAAGUCUUCGAUGCCAGAAAAUGCAGGAGUGAAAAAAGGGGACACUUCUUGGCUUCCUAUAGCCAUGCCGCCAGAGGUGGAAGAUUGAUGAAGCCCCUUUGUCUCCAUUUUCAAGAAUCAAGAUUUUAACUAACAUCUUCGUAUGCAUGUUUGAUACCCAUCAUUUAUUUAUAUUUAAAAGUUAUUAAAAUUUCCCCUAAAAAGAAGUUAUUAUAAGUAGACCUCGAAUUCGGUACACGACACGAAAACACGCCACGAAAAGUUUGGGUUUGGUUUUCAAUUUUCGGUACACGAACACGAAAAAUACACGUUAAUUUAGUGUCGGGUUCGAUUUUUAAUACAAGUACACGAAUGACACGAAAGUACACGAACUAAAUAAAUAAAUAAAAAUUAAAAAAUAUAUUUUAUUUAUUUAUUAUAUAUUUUUUUAUCAAAUUUUAAGUUUAUAUUUUACACAGCUAUACAAAUACAAGUAACAAAAUAGAUCUUAUUAAAAUAGAUCUUAUUUUAAUUCCUAUUUAAAUAGGAGUUUGAUGCUUUGGAUGAUGAUUUUUGCAAUGCUUUGAUUGAGAAAACUGAGUUGGAUAAAUAUUUGGAAGAGAAAAGAAUUAAUAGGAAUGUCGAGCUAGAUAUCUUAGAUUAUUGGAAAACAAAUCAAUAUUGAUAUAUUAAUCUUGCACUUAUGGCUCGCGAUAUCCUUUCAAUUUCAAUCUCAACUGUUGCCUCGGAGUCGGCCUUUAGUGUCGGAGCAAGAGUGUUAGAUCAAUACCGUAGUUCUUUGGCGCAUAUUGUUGUGGAGGGUCUGAUUUGCACUCGUGACUGGAAAUUUAAUGAAGAAGGUAAUCCGCUUUUAUAUUAGAGCUUAAAUCUAUAGUUUUAAUUUUUUGCUCGUGAACACAUGCAAUUCUGUAGCUUUAAUUUUGUUUUCUUUUAAUUUUUCAGUUGUUCCAAGUUAUACAUUGGAAGAACUCACUGAAGAUGUUGUUAGUAUAGCACUCAAUGAAAAUUCUCCGGCCCCUGGUUGCGACACUCCAGUCAAUUGAUCACAUCAGGGGAUGAAAAAUCAAAUUCCUGCCACUUUUGUUUAAGUUUUUAAGUUCUAGUUGGUGUUGAACAAUUCCUAUUUUGUUGUACUUGAACUCCAGUUGAUGUUUGAACAAUAUUAUCAUCAAUUUCAUUUCUACUAUUUUAUGAAUUUAUUGUAUAAUUUUUAUGUCUAAAUUUUCAUUUAUCUCAAAAAAUGUGAAAGUAACAGAUUAAUUAUGUGAAAAACGUGUACUUUCGUGUACGAAUGUGUACUACAAUAUUUCGUGUAUAUUUCAUUCCGGAGUACACGGAAGGUACACGAAAAUAUUUCGUGUACUUAACGUGUACAGUUCGUGUUGACACGAAAAUAAAC